UGGGGAAUAUUGCACAAUGGGGGGAACCCUGAUGCAGCAACGCCGCGUGGGUGAAGAAGUAUUUCGGUAUGUAAAGCCCUAUCAGCAGGGAAGAAAAUGACGGUACCUGACUAAGAAGCCCCGGCUAAAUACGUGCCAGCAGCCGCGGUAAUACGUAUGGGGCAAGCGUUAUCCGGAUUUACUGGGUGUAAAGGGAGCGCAGGCGGCGCGGCAAGUCAGAUGUGAAAGCCCGGGGCUCAACCCCGGGACUGCAUUUGAAACUGCCGUGCUGGAGUGUCGGAGAGGCAAGUGGAAUUCCUAGUG
rnacentral:rRNA from 1 species